rnacentral:rRNA from 1 species
GUGGGGAAUUUUGGACAAUGGGCGCAAGCCUGAUCCAGCAAUGCCGCGUGCAGGAAGAAGGCCUUCGGGUUGUAAACUGCUUUUGUACGGAACGAAACGGUCCGGGUUAAUACCCUGGGCUAAUGACGGUACCGUAAGAAUAAGCACCGGCUAACUACGUGCCAGCAGCCGCGGUAAUACGUAGGGUGCAAGCGUUAAUCGGAAUUACUGGGCGUAAAGCGUGCGCAGGCGGUUUUGUAAGACGGGCGUGAAAUCCCCGGGCUCAACCUGGGAAUUGCGGUUGUGACUGCAAGGCUGGAGUGCGGCAGAGGGGGAUGGAAUUCCGCGUGUAGCAGUGAAAUGCGUAGAUAUGCGGAGGAACACCGAUGGCGAAGGCAAUCCCCUGGGCCUGCACUGACGCUCAUGCACGAAAGCGUGGGGAGCAAACAGGAUUAGAUACCCUGGUAGUCC